rnacentral:rRNA from 1 species
UGCAGAAUCCCGUGAACCAUCGAGUCUUUGAACGCAAGUUGCGCCCGAGGCCACUAGGCUAAGGGCACGUCUGCCUGGGUGUCACGC